GACGAACGCUGGCGGCGUGCUUAACACAUGCAAGUCGAACGGAAAGGCCCUGCUUUUGUGGGGUGCUCGAGUGGCGAACGGGUGAGUAACACGUGAGUAACCUGCCCUUGACUUUGGGAUAACUUCAGGAAACUGGGGCUAAUACCGGAUAGGAGCUCCUGCUGCAUGGUGGGGGUUGGAAAGUUUCGGCGGUUGGGGAUGGACUCGCGGCUUAUCAGCUUGUUGGUGGGGUAGUGGCUCACCAAGGCUUUGACGGGUAGCCGGCCUGAGAGGGUGACCGGCCACAUUGGGACUGAGAUACGGCCCAGACUCCUACGGGAGGCAGCAGUGGGGAAUAUUGCACAAUGGGCGGAAGCCUGAUGCAGCAACGCCGCGUGCGGGAUGACGGCCUUCGGGUUGUAAACCGCUUUCGCCUGUGACGAAGCGUGAGUGACGGUAAUGGGUAAAGAAGCACCGGCUAACUACG
rnacentral:rRNA from 1 species